AGCGAACGCUGGCGGCAGGCCUAACACAUGCAAGUCGAACGAGACCUUCGGGUCUAGUGGCGGACGGGUGAGUAACACGUGGGAACGUGCCUUUAGGUUCGGAAUAACUCAGGGAAACUUGUGCUAAUACCGAAUGUGCCCUUCGGGGGAAAGAUUUAUCGCCUUUAGAGCGGCCCGCGUCUGAUUAGCUAGUUGGUGAGGUAAUGGCUCACCAAGGCUACGAUCAGUAGCUGGUCUGAGAGGAGGGCCAGCCACAUUGGGACUGAGACACGGCCCAAACUCCCACGGGAGGCAGCAGUGGGGAAUCUUGCGCAAUGGGCGAAAGCCUGACGCAGCCAUGCCGCGUGAAUGAUGAAGGUCUUAGGAUUGUAAAAUUCUUUCACCGGGGACGAUAAUGACGGUACCCGGAGAAGAAGCCCCGGCUAACUUCGUGCCAGCCGCCGCCGUAACAC
rnacentral:rRNA from 1 species